rnacentral:rRNA from 1 species
GACGAACGCUGGCGGCGUGCUUAACACAUGCAAGUCGAACGGAAAGGCCCUUUGCUUGCAAGGGGUACUCGAGUGGCGAACGGGUGAGUAACACGUGGGUGAUCUGCCUUGCACUUCGGGAUAAGCCUGGGAAACUGGGUCUAAUACCGGAUAGGACCAUGCUUUAGUGUGUGUGGUGGAAAGUUUUUCGGUGCAAGAUGAGCCCGCGGCCUAUCAGCUUGUUGGUGGGGUAAUGGCCUACCAAGGCGACGACGGGUAGCCGGCCUGAGAGGGUGUACGGCCACAUUGGGACUGAGACACGGCCCAGACUCCUACGGGAGGCAGCAGUGGGGAAUAUUGCACAAUGGGCGCAAGCCUGAUGCAGCGACGCCGCGUGGGGGAUGACGGCCUUCGGGUUGUAAACUCCUUUCGCUAGGGAAGAAGCCUUUUGGUGACGGUACCUGGAUAAGAAGCACCGGCUAACUACGUGC